GACGAACCGUGCGAACGUUGUUCGGAUUCACUGGGCUUAAAGGGCGCGUAGGCGGGCGGUCAAGUCAGGGGUGAAAUCUUUCGGCUCAACCGGAAAAGUGCCUUUGAUACUGGCCGUCUCGAGGGAGGUAGGGGCAUGCUGAACUUCCGGUGGAGCGGUGAAAUGCGUAGAUAUACGGAAGGAACGCCGGUGGCGAAAGCGGCGUGCUGGACCUCUUCUGACGCUGAGGCGCGAAAGCCAGGGGAGCAAAGCGGG
rnacentral:rRNA from 1 species